UACGGAGGAUGCGAGCGUUAUCCGGAUUUAUUGGGUUUAAAGGGUGCGUAGGCGGACGCUUAAGUCAGCGGUAAAAUUGCGGGGCUCAACCUCGUCGAGCCGUUGAAACUGGGUGCCUUGAGUGGGCGAGAAGUACGCGGAAUGCGUGGUGUAGCGGUGAAAUGCAUAGAUAUCACGCAGAACUCCGAUUGCGAAGGCAGCGUACCGGCGCCCAACUGACGCUGAAGCACGGAGGCGUGGGUAUCGAACAGG
rnacentral:rRNA from 1 species